UACUAGCUACUACACGCAGUUCUGAGACAGCAGCCACUGUAAUUCUGGGAUGGGGUGCUGCAUAGGAGUGGACAGGAUGUAUGGGUAUUUAAAACAAAACUGAGUCUCAUUUCAUGAAUUUCACGCUAGUGCUUGCAGAAGUUGGCUUCUGUAGUUCUUCGAGGGUACUUAAUAAAAGGCAGUGCCCUUGUGUUCAACAAAUAGGGACUUUGUAUUGGAUUUUGGGAAUCUAGGCCACAGCAGUAUUGGGAUUUGCCUUCUGGUUUCUCUUGCAGAUUAGUUGUGUCACUCUGCAUGUAUUUUCUACAAAGUUAAAACCCUAGAGGGCUAGUCUAUUCUGUCUUUCAUUUUUGGGAGGUGUGUGGGGGGAUGUCUCUGGGGAGAACCCUCUCUCCCCAAGUCAUCUUAUCUAUCUGCAAACAGAGAGACUAGAGUUAAUUGCUGUCAUCCGAGGGAGGAAAUGUGACACCAACAUCCUGCUGGAACUUUGGACUUUCCCCACUGAGCCUGGACCUAGAACCUUGGGAGAAAAAGGAGCCCAUCACAUCAAAGAAGACCA